GGCACACGUAGCUCAUUUGGCAGAGCGGUGGAAAGUUGAUCCACUGUCCCGGGUUCGAGUCCCGGCGGUCG